UGACGUGUCUGCGCACCUUCGUCUUCCGAGCUGAGCGAGAGGGGGACAGGCAGGAGUGGCUGGCCCUGCUGCAGAAGGCCCUGGGCUCGCGGCCCUCCAUCUCUCAGCACGCCCCCCAGGGUGCCACGGGCCGCAGCGGGGCCCUGGAGCUGCGGGGCCACAAGGGCCGGGUUUACGUCUGCCUGCUGGGGACGCGCGUCCGCCUCUGCAAAACCGAGCAGGACUUCAGUGGCGGUUUGGCGAUUGCCGUGGUGGAUCUUACCUCAGCCAGUGUGAAGCAUGUUGAGAAGAGAGGAUUUGAGAUCAACACUCCAUUCAAAAACUUCUGCUUCACAGCGGAGUCGGAGCACGAGCGGGACGAGUGGGGGA